GUGGGGAAUUUUGGACAAUGGGCGCAAGCCUGAUCCAGCAAUGCCGCGUGCAGGAAGAAGGCCUUCGGGUUGUAAACUGCUUUUGUACGGAACGAAACGGUCCUGGUUAAUACCUGGGGCUAAUGACGGUACCGUAAGAAUAAGCACCGGCUAACUACGUGCCAGCAGCCGCGGUAAUACGUAGGGUGCGAGCGUUAAUCGGAAUUACUGGGCGUAAAGCGUGCGCAGGCGGUGCUGUAAGACAGGCGUGAAAUCCCCGGGCUCAACCUGGGAAUUGCGCUUGUGACCGCAGUGCUGGAGUACGGCAGAGGGUGAUGGAAUUCCGCGUGUAGCAGUGAAAUGCGUAGAUAUGCGGAGGAACACCGAUGGCGAAGGCAGUCCCCUGGGCCUGUACUGACGCUCAUGCACGAAAGCGUGGGGAGCAAACAGGAUUAGAAACCCGUGUAGUCC
rnacentral:rRNA from 1 species